GUGGGGAAUAUUGGACAAUGGGCGCAAGCCUGAUCCAGCCAUGCCGCGUGAGUGAUGAAGGCCUUAGGGUUGUAAAGCUCUUUCAGUGGGGACGAUAAUGACGGUACCCACAGAAGAAGCCCCGGCUAACUUCGUGCCAGCAGCCGCGGUAAUACGAAGGGGGCUAGCGUUGUUCGGAUUUACUGGGCGUAAAGCGCACGCAGGCGGAUCGUUAAGUUGGGGGUGAAAUCCUGGAGCUCAACUCCAGAACUGCCUUCGAUACUGGCGAUCUUGAGUCCGGAAGAGGUGAGUGGAACUCCUAGUGUAGAGGUGGAAUUCGUAGAUAUUAGGAAGAACACCAGUGGCGAAGGCGGCUCACUGGUCCGGUACUGACGCUGAGGUGCGAAAGCGUGGGGAGCAAACAGGAUUAGAAACCCCUGUAGUCC
rnacentral:rRNA from 1 species